rnacentral:rRNA from 2 species
GACUCGCGGCCUAUCAGCUUUUGGUGAGGUAAUGGCUCACCANGCGACGACGGGUAGCCGNCCUGAGAGGGUGACCGGCCACACUGGGACUGAGACACGGCCCAGACUCNUACGGGAGGCAGCAGUGGGGAAUAUUGCACAAUGGGCGCAAGCCUGAUGCAGCGACGCCGCGUGNGGGAUGACGGCCUUCGGGUUGUAAACCUCUUUCAGUAGGGAAGAAGCGAAAGUGACGGUACCUGCAGAAGAAGCACCGGCUAACUACGUGCCAGCAGCCGCGGUAAUACGUAGGGUGCGAGCGUUAUCCGGAAUUAUUGGGCGUAAAGAGCUCGUAGGCGGUUUGUCGCGUCUGUCGUGAAAGUCCGGGGCUUAACCCCGGAUCUGCGGUGGGUACGGGCAGACUAGAGUGCAGUAGGGGAGACUGGAAUUCCUGGUGUAGCGGUGGAAUGCGCAGAUAUCAGGAGGAACACCGAUGGCGAAGGCAGGUCUCUGGGCUGUAACUGACGCUGAGGAGCGAAAGCAUGGGGAGCGAACAGGAUUAGAUACCCUGGUAGUCCAUGCCGUAAACGUUGGGCACUAGGUGUGGGGACCAUUCCACGGUUUCCGCGCCGCA